AUAUAUAAAUAGAGAGAACUGUCUUCAUUUAGCAAAGCACGUCAGAAAAUAACUAGUCUAUAGACUUGGCCGAAAUUGAGGAGUUUUGAAGCAAAGAGACAACAAUAACUCAAGUGUACUAUGUAAUAAACUAAGAGGAGUUUUGCAUUUCCCAAGUAAGGCCUUCAGAGAGGAGUAAGGGAGCCACAUUUAAGAUGAAACAAUAUGGAAAAAACACUGGGAAGGAGAAAAAAAUGAAAAAUGAUCAUGUGAAAAAUCUAAGAUGUUAUUGCCAAUCAUUUUACAGUUCUCGUCCUUAUUUAAGAAUA
rnacentral:lncRNA from 1 species